UGUAAUUAUACCUGCCUUUGAACCCUAACGAAGGAGAAAUGCCUUUAUAAGCUGACUGACGCCGUGGACGCGAGCAACAUAUCCUGAGAGAGAGACAGAGACAAGCCAUGACUCAGUGAUGAUGGAAAUAAGCCUUGCAAAGUUCAC